UCGUGCUACGACCUUUGCUCAGGGCUGCCCUGACCCAAGGCGAACUAGGCAAAGGCCUAGGGCCUCAAAUUUUUGGGGGCCUCGGCCCAGCCCCCAAUCAAUUUAAAACCCACCCAAGACUUGAAAGAAAAAGAAAAUCUAUAGGUUCAGCUAGCAGAGAGAGGAAGAGACAAGAUGAUUUAUUGAGCUCUCUCCAAUUCCGUCCAUCACCGCCACCGGAGGAUCCCAAGAAGGAAGAGACGGUCGAAGUCUAAAACAUCAAAAAUGAGAAAUAUAAGCUUCUCUCUUUUCCAGUUUGGCGGUCCUGUUGCUCUUUUAGCAAGAUCUAAAUUGGAUUAUGACUCUUUGGAAGAAGAAAUUCCAUGGGGUAUUUCUCUAGAUUUAUCAGUGAAUUGCGGGGGUAUUUCUCCAAAUUUAUUGGUGAACCGACAAGGUGGUCAUGAUGCCUGCAGUGUGAAAGACACUAUUUGAAGAAUACAAUUUGUUUGCUGCAAUUAAUGGAAUAAAGUUUUCUUUCUUCUGAUUUUGUUAGGUAAGAUGUUAAAAUUUUUAUCUGGUCAUUGCUACCGAAUAGAAGGAAAAAGAGCAAGAUGGGUUCUAAAAAGAGACCACAAAUAUUGAAUUGUUAUGAAAUGAGCGGAAGGUAGUUUAUGUAGGUGGGUGGAGGUCUAAUUGAUUGCAUAAUUUAAGAAUGUUUUUUGUACUAGAUAGAUUUUAAUUAAUGAUUAUCAUUUCGAUUGUAAUUUAUAAAGAACUAAUCUAUGAAUUAAAUUGGAUAUGAAUUCCAGUUGGAUGCUAACUAUCAUUUGUACCCUUAUUUUCAAGUGUUGAAGAUGAUUUUAAUGAUUUCUCCCCUUUUUCUUCUCAUUUUUGAAGAGAUUUUUUUUCUUUUUAAUUUUAUGGAUUUAUGUUAUUUCAUUACUGGUCUAUAUUCUAGACUACUAGGAAACGUAAGAUCUUUCAAUUUCUGCUUUAAAAUAUUCUCCAUUCUCACUAGUUG
rnacentral:lncRNA from 1 species